GAUGAACGCUGGCGGCGUGCCUAAUACAUGCAAGUCGAGCGAACAGACGAGGAGCUUGCUCCUCUGACGUUAGCGGCGGACGGGUGAGUAACACGUGGAUAACCUACCUAUAAGACUGGGAUAACUUCGGGAAACCGGGGCUAAUACCGGAUAAUAUAUUGAACCGCAUGGUUCAAUAGUGAAAGACGGUUUUGCUGUCACUUAUAGAUGGAUCCGCGCCGCAUUAGCUAGUUGGUAAGGUAACGGCUUACCAAGGCGACGAUGCGUAGCCGACCUGAGAGGGUGAUCGGCCACACUGGAACUGAGACACGGUCCAGACUCCUACGGGAGGCAGCAGUAGGGAAUCUUCCACAAUGGGCGAAAGCCUGACGGAGCAACGCCGCGUGAGUGAUGAAGGUCUUCGGAUCGUAAAACUCUGUUAUUAGGGAAGAACAAAUGUGUAAGUAACUAUGCACGUCUUGACGGUACCUAAUCAGAAAGCCACGGCUAACUACGUG
rnacentral:rRNA from 1 species